UACGUAGGGUGCAAGCGUUGUCCGGAAUUAUUGGGCGUAAAGAGCUCGUAGGCGGUCUGUCGCGUCGGCUGUGAAAACCCGGGGCUCAACCCCGGGCCUGCAGUCGAUACGGGCAGACUAGAGUGCGGUAGGGGAGACUGGAAUUCCUGGUGUAGCGGUGAAAUGCGCAGAUAUCAGGAGGAAUACCGGUGGCGAAGGCGGGUCUCUGGGCCGUAACUGACGCUGAGGAGCGAAAGCGUGGGGAGCGAACAGG
rnacentral:rRNA from 1 species